rnacentral:rRNA from 1 species
UACGUAGGGUCCGAGCGUUGUCCGGAAUUACUGGGCGUAAAGAGCUCGUAGGUGGUUUGUCGCGUUGUUCGUGAAAACUCACAGCUCAACUGUGGGCGUGCGGGCGAUACGGGCAGACUUGAGUACUGCAGGGGAGACUGGAAUUCCUGGUGUAGCGGUGGAAUGCGCAGAUAUCAGGAGGAACACCGGUGGCGAAGGCGAGUCUCUGGGCAGUAACUGACGCUGAGGAGCGAAAGCGUGGGGAGCGAACAGG